rnacentral:rRNA from 1 species
UACGUAGGUGGCAAGCGUUGUCCGGAUUUAUUGGGUUUAAAGGGUGCGUAGGCGGAUUUGUAAGUCAGUGGUGAAAUACUCUAGCUUAACUAGAGGGGUGCCAAUGAUACUGCGGAACUUGAGUACAGAUGAGGUAGGCGGAAUUGACGGUGUAGCGGUGAAAUGCAUAGAUAUCGUCAAGAACACCGAUAGCGAAGGCAGCUUACUGGGCUGUAACUGACGCUGAUGCACGAAAGUGUGGGGAUCAAACAGG